ensembl:lincRNA
CAGAAGUAGAUUUCAAAGAAAAAUCUGUACUGCAAGUGUUAAAAAUAAAUAACUUCUUGGGGAGUGGAAUCAGUCUAGAGGCCUUCCUAAGAAGGGGGUUAGAGAGCUUGCAAUCCUGCAGAUCUGUCUUCAAGGAGGUCCUUUCUUUAUUCCAGUUUCUGUGGCUGGAUGCUGGCAUCUCCCAGGAUCAGCCGCAUGAGAGCUGACCUGAAAGUCACCAUCAAGACCCGAAUAGGCUGGUUUCCCAUGAGAAUGCUGCCCCUUCCACAAGCCCACCUCCUCAGAGCUGCAGGCAUUUUCAGGCCUCAUUAAGCCUCUUCAUGGAGUAAGUUGUCUUGGCCUGGACCAGAUGGACUCCCCGAGGAGAUUUGGCUAAAACAUCUUCUCCUGAACGUCUGAAGCUCCCAUGCUCACAGGCACCCAUCUGUUCCUCUUGUAAAUGCAUCUCAGCCGUUGUGUUUGGGAUGAUCUGGAAUUUUCACUGCAAAUGAGAUAUCCCUGCCCCGUUUCCUCUGACACUCAAUUCCCACUUUCACAAGCGUUUGGUUUCCUGGGCAGACAGACUUCAGAGUGACGCUGGCACUUUGGAUUCUUGUGUCACAUUGUAGCACCCAAAUCCUGCCAUUCACCCUCCUGUUCUCCAGUCUCCCGAGUCAAGGUUGCUAUAUGAAUAAGGGCAAAGACUAAAUGGGAAAUGCAGAAAGGCUUAGAUGGAAAUCCAUUUCUCUUAGAAUGCUAUAUAGUCCCCCCUCUGUGGGUUAUUCCCGUUUUGGAUAACUUUGAACCAGUGGAUUCGUGAUAUAUGGCUUUUUUGUGACUGGCUUAUUUCACUUAGUAUAAAGUUUUCAAGACUGAUCGUGUGGUAGCAUAUGUCAGGUCCUCGUUUGUUUUCGUUGUCAAAUAAUAUUCCUUGGUGCUAUAACACAUUUUAUUUAUUCAUUCAUGAGUCAGUAGACAUUUGGCUGUUUGCCAGUUUGUGGCUCUAAUGAUACUAUGUACAUUCAUGUAAAGGUUUCUGUGUGAACCUCGACUCUCGGCUCUCUUGGAUGCAUGUCUAGGAGUGGAAUUGGUAGAUGUAUGGUGACUGUAUGUUUAGCAUUUCAGAGAGCUGCCAAGCUGUUUUUCACAGUAGCUGUGCCAUGUUAUAACUCCACCAACAAUGUAUGAGGGUUCUAGUUUUUUUAUAUCCUCACCAAGACUUAUCAUUGUUGGUCUUUUUGAUUGAUUGAUUGAUUCGUUCUUUUAUUUAUUGAACAAUUAGGGAAUUUCCUGGUGGUCCAGUGGCUAAGACUCCACGCUUCCAACACAGGGGGCCCAGGUUCUGUCCCUGGUCAGGGGACUAAGCCUGACAUGCCACGUCUAAGAGUUUGCAUGCUGCAAGGAAAGGAUCUCGCAUGUGGCAACAAAGAUCGAAGAUUCCACAUACUGCAACUAAGACCUGCUGCAGCCAAAUAAACAAACGUUAAUAUUAAAACCCAGCUAGUCACUGAGUGCCUGUGUGUGCUGGAGCCUAGAGAAUAAGAGUUAGGAAAUCACGUAAGGAGAGUAUGAUAUUUGGCAGAGACUGAUAGACCAAAUGAAAAUGCAAAUAAAGGUAAAAAUGCAAUUAUGAGGGAAAUUACAGAGGGGUGGUUGUACAUGAUGUUAUGUGACUAUACACCAGGGAGGGUUUCCCUCAGGAGGCAAUGAUUGAGCUGAGAUGUACAAGCUGAAUAAGAGCUUAGUAGAUAUUUGAUUAUAAACAAGAGUGUUAAUGGAUCUCUGCCUCAGUUCUGCCUUUGUCAUGGAGAGUUUGCCAGAUCCACAUAACAGAGUGGUUUGGGGAACUCAAUGAAAGUUAUUGUUAGGAAAGGAUUAGAUCCCUCAAUUAGCAAUUCUCUGGUUUCCUUUUGUGAUCUCCUACCCUCCCUCACUCUCCAGAAGGAAGGGCUCUAGACAAAGGAUAGUAUUGAUGGCGAUGGUGGUGGUGAUGAUCUUGAGGUAGGCUCUGAUUUGAUAGGUGCCUUCUAUGUGUCGAGCACUGUGCUAAGUAAUUUAAAACAUCUUAUUCAUUUCUUAUAAUGACAUUGCAAUAGAAGGAGGUCAGCAUGAGAUCAGAAUGAAGCAGAAAAGGAAAGCGGAGUGUGGGAGACAGGCACUGAGUUUAGGUCUGAAGGAACUGGACUUGUAGUUGAAGUGACUCUUGAGAGAAAUGUUUCUAAGUCUGUGUUCACAGAGCACCUGAAAUAGACAUUUGGUUUCAGAAAAUAUACAUUCAUGCAAUUUAAUUCUGUUUAUACUUAGAAGGGUAUUUUACUUCUUGAAUAUGGAAUGCAGUUUCUUUUAUUUUAAAUUACUUCUCUGGUAUUAAACUAAAUAGUUUAGCUUAAUCACAUAUAACAAACCUCCCAGUAUAAGGGCCUGGAUCCCAAAUCUCGCUACAAAUUAGUUUCCAGCCCAGGCAAUAAAUGCAUACCUGGAGCAAAUUCAAGAAGGGAAACCACUUUAAUUAGGUUUGAAAGUGUCUCCAAUCAGUUCCAGAAUAGCUGUCACUGGAUUUAUGAUGUACCUUCCAAAUUGUAACUCUUUUCAUAUUCAACUGAAGUGAGAAGGCCGCAGAGAAACUGAACUUGAUUUCUUGAAACCUAAACAUUUAUCUCCCCAAACAAGUGCCUCUAGAAAAGAUGGGCAAGACUGAUGGAAGGCAGGCCGGCUCACCUGUCUGUCGGCCUCUGUGGUAAGUUUCCACUUAAUUGAGAGGGUUCUAGAAGGAUUAAUCCAAACAAACCUUCCUUGGAACAUUUCCAUAAGUAUAGUCUGACCCCACUAAUCUGUCACGCAACAAUUGCACUCACUUUUACAUUUGUGCCCAAAUGACAGUAACACACAGCUUUCCUGGGGGAGGAGCUGGUGCUGAGACUCAGAGGCUAGACGGCUUGCAGAGUAUCACUGACUUCUAAGUGUCAGAACCAGGAUUCAAGCCCAGAUUACUCUAAUUCCAGAAUUUUGAGCCCAAGGGACAUAUUCAGAAUAAAAUAUCAGCAAUAAAAAUGAUGAUUAGUCACCUUAUCUACGUGAUUUCCAGCUGUUUUGAAACCGAGUCGCCUGUUAAUUUUUGUUGGAUUCUUUUAGCCUUGUUUUCGCAGCCAUAGUACCUGAAUGUGGCAAAACUCAAGAAAGUGGGCAUGGCAGAAAGACGUGAUGCCAGGGUGGGAAAAGUGGGAGCAGAGCCUGGCUUUCCACUUCGCACCGCUGCGACUUCGGGCUCAGCCACUCUGACAGGAGUCUGAGCAAGCUCCGGGAGUUGGUGAUGGACAGGGAGGCCUGGCGAGCUGCAGUCCACGGGGUCGCAAAGAGUCAGACACGACUGAGCGACUGAACUGACUCUGACGCUUUGUCUCUUCCUCUGGGUAGAGGGAAUUAACACCUCUGGGUAGAGAGCUGUGAUGAAGCUGAAGGGAGAAAAUGCCUUGUGAACUCUAAAUUGCCUUCACAUUGCUUACUACUUUCAUCUAAAAGAACACCAUGAAGUCUGACAGGAGUGGUAUGCAAGGUCUGCUCUGAGAGGUAACUGGAGAUGUCCUGCUUUGUCAGAAAGUCACCAUGACUCUGAGCCUUGAUCACUCACCAAUCAGCUCUUUAAUUCUUAUGUAAAUGGCAUAGUAAUUGUGAAGAAGAUAGGGUAUCUGGGUUAGAAUUCCUGCUGUCUCCACAGUGUGCUGGCCACUGUAGCAAUACUUUAUGAAUAUUAUCUCAUUAAAUAAAUCUAUGUGAUUGGCAGGAGCAUUAUAAUCCUCACUUCACAGACAGAAAGUGAGCACACGUUGGCUCAACUUACUGCAGUCCAGCUAAACGGCAGUUCCCUUUGGUUCCCAACCUUUUCUCCCUUCCAUUUUGCUUGUUAUUAUCAAAGUAGUUUGCCAAUGGAGAUUAUUUAACUCCUUCUCCUAGAUGACUGUCAUUUACCUUUGACUGUAAGAUGAUGUGGUAGGCAGGGGACUUACCUGGUGGCCCAGUAUCUAAGACUGCGCUCCCAAUGCAGGGGGCCUGGGUUCAGCUCCUGGUCAGGGAACUGGAUUCCCACAUGC